CUUGAGUUCCUGAUGGUGGGCCCCUUGCCUCUGGGUAGCCCCUCCUGCGCAGUUGUGUCUGGCCUCGUUGCUCAGCUCAAGGGCCCGAAGAGGUUGACUGUUGAACCUUGGCUUCCUAAGCACCAGGGAGUCCGCAUUCUGUCAAGUUCUCUAUGUCUGUUUCUGUGAGAAUCGUUCCUCU